UAGCGUAAGCUAGUAAGGCCCCUUGAAGACUACAAGGUUGAUAGGUCAGAGGUGUAAGUAUGGUAACAUAUUUAGCUGACUGAUACUAAUAGGUCGAGGGCUUGACCAA
rfam:Clostridium puniceum strain DSM 2619 CLPTN_contig000222, whole genome shotgun sequence.